GCGCUCUAAAGGGGUGACGGUUUCGCUGUUCACGGUAAGUGUGCAGCGAUGAAAAGGGAACACGGUGAGGCUCUGUCCGAUGCCGUGGCUGCUCCCGCAACUGUAAGCGGUUAGUUCUUUUCGCAAAUGCCACUGCCGGCUCGCGUUGAGCCAGUGGGAAGGCCGGAGAGAAUGUCUGAGCCGUGAGCCAGGAGACCUGCCGCCGCAAGUCGCCCAUC
rnacentral:ncRNA from 1 species